AGGGUCUAUCCCAAACUCCACUCUUCAGUAUUCAUAUCUUUGUGAAAUGACUCUAACAAGGAGCACCAUGCUGAUUACUCUUCUCCUUGUUUUGCUCGCCUUUUCAGGCCCAAUCAAAGGAGAAGAUGACUUGGGCGGAGGUGAUGACGGUGACUUGGCCCCUCCUCCUCAUCCAGGGAGCAGUCAUAUGGCUCCUCCACCUCCCCCAUCUCCAAAGAGCCAUCCACCUCCACCUCCAAAGACUGAUUUGGCUCCUCCUCCACCACCUCGAACUCCAAAGAGCAAUACACCUCCACCUCCACCAGCACCGACACCGAUACAACCGCCUCCAGGACCCUGUGUGGAAGUGAGGUUGUACAAAGGGCCAUGCGUCAACAUACUUUGCGCGGCCGCUUGUGUCGCGGAGUUGCAUCAGGGUGGCCACUGUCGUGGGAAUAUUUUUUCUGGCGGUUGCUAUUGUUUCUCGUGCUCCGUAGAAAAGUCUAGCCCACGAUCACAUUGAUGUGAAACAUGUGGAAUGUGGCUUGAGUUUUCUAUUGGUUCAAUUAAAUAAUAAAGGAAGUGGUUGUUAUAGUGUUUCACUUUUUAUGAAAAAUAAAUGAAUGGGCUUUUUCCCAUUUUCGAGUGUCUA